rnacentral:rRNA from 1 species
UACGUAGGGUGCGAGCGUUAAUCGGAAUUACUGGGCGUAAAGCGUGCGCAGGCGGCUUUGCAAGACAGAUGUGAAAUCCCCGGGCUCAACCUGGGAACUGCAUUUGUGACUGUAUAGCUAGAGUACGGCAGAGGGGGAUGGAAUUCCGCGUGUAGCAGUGAAAUGCGUAGAUAUGCGGAGGAACACCGAUGGCGAAGGCAAUCCCCUGGGCCUGUACUGACGCUCAUGCACGAAAGCGUGGGGAGCAAACAG